rnacentral:rRNA from 1 species
CACUCUUUCAGGCUCGGGCCAGCAUCAGCUCGCCGCGGGGGACAAAGGCUUCGGGAAUGUGGCUCCCCUCGGGGAGUGUUAUAGCCCGUUGCGCAAUACCCUGUGGCGGGCUGAGGACCGCGCAUCUGCAAGGAUGCUGGCGUAAUGGUCAUCAGCGA